AGUCAGUCCUGAGAAGACGAAGAAGAGCACAGAGAAAAAUGAGGAUCUUCGACUGAAAUCUGACUUUUUCCACCAGAGGUCCUGGGGGUCCAUCUUUUAGCUGGCACACCCUGUACCCUCCUCCGCCUGGGCAGUGUGGCUGCUGUCAGCAUCUCCAGGGUAGAUCCAUCCAGCUUCAGUAGCCUCCAGUAAGCAACAGAGGUGGCGACUUGUAACAACAGAAGGAUGGUAGGCAGCAGUAAGCCAGCACCUUCUGACUGGGACACUAAGUCGGCCAUGCCCGGGCCGCCGCUGUCAUACUGCUCCGAGAUGCUGCACAGCCAGGCUGACUCCUUCCUCAUGGCAGCCCGACUCGUCCGCAGAGGAUGGCCCAAUGAAGGGACCAAAACAAACAGGCAGCUUUCACAAUCUGAUGGUUCAGCACGUCAACCCAUUUUCACCAGUUCAGAGGGGCAUAAGGCUUCAGUCAGGGUUAGGAUUUGCCGUAAGGACCCCAUGAGAAGUUGGACACUUGAUAUGAGCAGUGGGGAGACAUCCCUGGAUGGAAAGACAGGCUUUGAAAAAGAUGAUAAAGCCAAAGAGACAUCGGAAGGUGCAGCCUCACCAAACAGACCAGAAGAAAGACAGACAGGUGUAGUCUAUGUUUGGAAGUCUAGUUGUCGCAUCACAUGCAGACAGACCAGAAGAUUUAAGGCCCCGGUGCUACCAGCCAUUGCUGAAGUCGAAGUUUAAAAGAAGACCUGUAAUUGAAUCUACAGGUGUAUGAAGUACAGGGUUAAUGGUGAUUGUAAACUUGAA